rnacentral:tRNA from 1 species
ACCGAAAUAGCUCAGUUGGGAGAGUGUUAGGCUAUGGAACGAAAGGUCCCUGGUUCGACCCCGGGAUUAGGAA